rnacentral:lncRNA from 1 species
CAUUUCCUCAUAGCUUGGGUGCACCAUAUUUAGCUGGAACACAUCCAUCCAACUUUAGACGGAGUCCAUAUUUUGUUUAAUUGGCACUCCCCACUGGUGGCAAAGUAAGGAGACAAUGGCUCUUUUUCCUUUUACCUAGCUCGCUUUUUGCUUUUUACCACUAGCUGGAGCACAUGCAGUUUAAAAAAAAACUGCUUAGUAUCUCAAGUAUCGUGAACGAAGCAAAUGUGGUUCCUACACAUUGUGCAAAUGUGGAAGUCGUGUAAAGAAGAUGCCCGGAGUCCCUUUUCACAAGUAAGCAUGGAUGUGGGAAGUGAUCCAUAACACUUCUAAUUGCACUCUGUGAAUAAGAAAUUGCAGACAUGAACUCACGUUAACUUAUUUUCCUUGUAGGUUUCUGGAGGACUCUCAAGAUGCCAGCAGUAUGAUGCUUAUUGCGCAGAUGCCGUGGCUGAGCUCUUGUUCCUUUUUUUUUUACAUUUCCAGAAUGUAAAAAAGCAGCCACCACCAAGAUUUUGAGGACCAUCGAGCUGUGGAAACACCAUCGCAGAACAGGUAGUGGU